AAAUAUGGUAGGAUAAUUUUUAAGUCUGUGAGAUUCAUAUUUUCGAGGUUUACCGUAUUUA
rnacentral:tRNA from 1 species